rnacentral:rRNA from 1 species
AUAUAUGGUCAAACCUUCUUGUCAAAGCCUGAUCUCUUCAGAUCUCAGACGCUAAGAAAGACACGGCCUGGUUAGUGCUUGGAUGGGAGACCGCUGGGAACACCAGGUGCCACAGCGA